rnacentral:rRNA from 1 species
CCUACGGGAGGCAGCAGUCGAGAAUCAUUCACAAUGGGGGAAACCCUGAUGGUGCGACGCCGCGUGGGGGAAUGAAGGUCUUCGGAUUGUAAACCCCUGUCAUGUGGGAGCAAAUUAAAAAGAUAGUACCACAAGAGGAAGAGACGGCUAACUCUGUGCCAGCAGCCGCGGUAAUACAGAGGCCUCAAGCGUUGUUCGGAAUCACGGGGCGUAAUGCGUGCGUAGGCUGUUUCGUAAGUCGUGUGUGAAAGGCGCGGGCUCAACCCGCGGACGGCACAUGAUACUGCGAGACUAGAGUAAUGGAGGGGGAACCGGAAUUCUCGGUGUAGCAGUGAAAUGCGUAGAUAUCGAGAGGAACACUCGUGGCGAAGGCGGGUUCCUGGACAUUAACUGACGCUGAGGCACGAAGGCCAGGGGAGCGAAAGGGAUUAGAUACCCCGGUAGUC